rnacentral:tRNA from 1 species
GCGCCCGUAGCUCAGCUUGGAUAGAGCGCUGCCCUCCGGAGGCAGAGGUCUCAGGUUCAAAUCCUGUCGGGCGUA